GCAAAAAACCUAACCCAAAUAAUCCACAUUUACUCUACUUUUAUCCUUUUCCCCCACUAAAACAUUCCACAGUUAUAGUAAAGGCGAUCAAAACAUCUUUUGGAGUUAUAUUUCUAGUACCGCAAGGGAACAGUGAAAUAAAAAUGAAACAACUAUCAAGCACCAAAUAGCAGAGACUUCACCUCGUACCUUUUGCAUCAUGGUUUAACUAGUCUAAUCAAGCAAAAAGCACUAAAGUUUGCCUCCCCGAAACUAAGCGAGCUACUUCAAGGCAGCUUUUAGAGCUAACCCGUCUCUGUUGCAAAAGAGUGGGAAGACCUUCAAGUAGAGGUGAUAGACCUAGCGAGCUUAGUGAUAGCUGGUUACUUAAGAAAAGGAUCUUAGUCCAACCCAAUUUUUUUAUAGUGCAUCUAAAUGAAAACUAAAAUUUGGAGUAACUCAAAUAAGGUACAGCCUAUUUGAACUAGGAUACAACCUCCACAAAUGGGUAAUUAAAUUUGUGUGUAGUAAAGUAGGCCUAAAAGCAGCCACCUUCAUUUAAAAGCGUCAAAGCUUAUCUACAAAUCAAUUAAAUCCCCCUAUUAACUAAAAACCCUUAAUCUAUAUUAAGUAAUUCUAUAAAAUUAUAGAACCUAUAAUGUUAAAACUAGUAACAAGAAUUAGAACUUCUCCUUAUGCAAGUGUAAAUCAGAUUGGACAAACCACUGAUUUUUAACACCUUGAAACUAAAGUAACAACAAAUCAAGAAAAUUUUACCUCAUAUAAUGUUAACCUAACACAAGAGCAUUCCCAGACAGAUUAAAAGGAAAAGAAGGAAUUCGGCAAAUAUUAACCUCGCCUGUUUACCAAAAACAUCGCCUCUUGACAAACAUAUAAGAGGUCCAGCCUGCCCAGUGACUUUGUUCAACGGCCGCGGUAUCCUAACCGUGCGAAGGUAGCGUAAUCACUUGUUCUUUAAAUAAGGACUGGUAUGAAUGGCAUUACGAGGGUUAUACUGUCUCCUUUCCCUAAUCAGUGAAACUAAUCUUCCCGUGAAGAAGCGGGAAUAAAUAUAUAAGACGAGAAGGCCCUAUGGAGCUUUAAACUUCCAACAAUUAUCUUUUUUAUACCAACCUAUAGGCUGUUAAAUCAACUUUAAUAAUAUGUCUGUUAGUUUUCGGUUGGGGUGACCGCGGAGUAAAACUUACCCUCCGCAAUGAAUUAAGUUUUUAAGCAAAAAACUACAAUUUUAUGCAUCAAAAAAUUGACACUAUUGACCCAACAUUUUGAUCAACGAACCAAGUUACCCUAGGGAUAACAGCGCAAUCCAUCUCAAGAGCUCAUAUCGACAGAUGGGUUUACGACCUCGAUGUUGGAUCAGGAUACCCCAGUGGUGCAGCCGCUACUAAAGGUUCGUUUGUUCAACGAUUAAAAUCCUACGUGAUCUGAGUUCAGACCGGAGCAAUCCAGGUCAGUUUCUAUCUAUAAAGAGUCUUUCCCAGUACGAAAGGACCGGAAAGACAAGGCCUAUGUUUUAACUAAGCCUUACCCACUAAUCUGUGUAUAAAACUUAAUAGUUAUUAAGCUACCACAAAACUCAAGAUAAGAAAGU
rnacentral:rRNA from 1 species